rnacentral:rRNA from 1 species
ACGCUGGCGGCGUGCUUAACACAUGCAAGUCGAACGGGAUCCAUCAAGCUUGCUUGGUGGUGAGAGUGGCGAACGGGUGAGUAAUGCGUGACCAACCUGCCCUGUACUCUGGAAUAGCUCCUGGAAACGGGUGGUAAUGCCGGAUGCUCCACAUGGGUGCAUGCCUGUGUGGGAAAGGGUUUACCGGUAUGGGAUGGGGUCGCGUCCUAUCAGCUUGACGGCGGGGUAAUGGCCCACCGUGGCUUUGACGGGUAGCCGGCCUGAGAGGGCGACCGGCCACAUUGGGACUGAGAUACGGCCCAGACUCCUACGGGAGGCAGCAGUGGGGAAUAUUGCACAAUGGGGGGAACCCUGAUGCCGCGACGCCGCGUGCGGGGAUGACGGCCUUCGGGUUGUAAACCGCUUUUGAUUGGGAGCAAGCGUUAAGUGAGUGUACCUUUCGAAUAAGCGCCGGCUAACUACGUGCCAGCAGCCGCGGUAAUACGUAGGGCGCAAGCGUUGUCCGGAAUUAUUGGGCGUAAAGGGCUCGUAGGCGGCUCGUCGCGUCUGGUGUGAAAGUCCAUCGCUUAACGGUGGAUCUGCGCCGGGUACGGGCGGGCUGGAGUGCGGUAGGGGAGACUGGAAUUCCCGGUGUAACGGUGGAAUGUGUAGAUAUCGGGAGGAACACCAAUGGCGAAGGCAGGUCUCUGGGCCGUUACUGACGCUGAGGAGCGAAAGCGUGGGGAGCGAACAGGAUUAGAUACCCUGGUAGUCCACGCCGUAAACGGUGGACGCUGGAUGUGGGGCCCAUUCCACGGGUUCCGUGUCGGAGCUAACGCGUUAAGCGUCCCGCCUGGGGAGUACGGCCGCAAGGCUAAAACUCAAAGAAAUUGACGGGGGCCCGCACAAGCGGCGGAGCAUGCGGAUUAAUUCGAUGCAACGCGAAGAACCUUACCUGGGCUUGACAUGUUCCCGGCGACAUCAGAGAUGGUGUUUCCCUUCGGGGCGGGUUCACAGGUGGUGCAUGGUCGUCGUCAGCUCGUGUCGUGAGAUGUUGGGUUAAGUCCCGCAACGAGCGCAACCCUCGCCCCGUGUUGCCAGCACGUCAUGGUGGGAACUCACGGGGGACCGCCGGGGUUAACUCGGAGGAAGGUGGGGAUGAC